UGACCAGUGAAGCUUCCAGCACGUAUGUUAGAUAGCGUCACUCUGUAAAGCGGUCUUCACUUUGGAUGCGGAUAUACAAACAGCAACAUUAUUAUUAUACAUCAGUGGACCUUAUUACCAAAGGCAUAAGGUCCACCGAUGUACAGUUAACAGUGUGGGCGAUGGUACGUGCAAAUAAGUCUGUGUCGCAAUUGAGCGGCGUAAUCCGCAUCAUUGUGAUGACCGCGUACGCGUAAGACCCGAUACCGAUUAACUAUCGUAGAGGUACGGACUUAGAUAUUCAGUGGAGCAAUUUUAACACUGUAGUUGAGUCAAACACUUUCUCACGAAUACGUACUUACAGUCCGUUUUUUUUUAGCAUCAGAAAGAACUUCGCAGAAGUAAGCUUGUGGUUCCAAAUCCGGCAUUUUUAGCGGUAAUAAUUUGAAGUAAAUUAUAUGUAUUGACAUUAGAUAAUUCAAUAAUUAUUAACAAUUAAAUAGCCUGAUAAAAACUGCACGCUUGCUUCUGUGGAGUUCUUUCUAAUUCUAAAAAAAAACGAACUAUAGUGUGCUCUCUGUCACACAAAAUUAGUCUUUUUUUACUUGCUUCGCGUGCAGCUAGUUUUUAACUCAACUAUACCUACACUCGUAGCAAAAAUUUAAUGGGUGAAUCAACGCUCUUAAAAACCUGAUUUUAAGAUACAUUUUAACUAGGAAAAUAUGCAGUUAUAUGCCAUUUCCAUAAUGGUCCAUAUACGAAGCAUGUUAGUAGUACAAUAUUUUUCCUAGCAAACUUUCCUACUAUUGUUCUCUGGCGGACGAGACAAAAUAAUGACAAGAAAUAGUUGAUCCACCCAAAACUAGUAUCUAAUAAAUAUAUAGUACCUAAACUGACGUCACUCUAAAAUUAUGCAUAUGCAUUAUAUAGACAAACAUAUAGAAGUAAAAUAAAAAAUUAAAAAUUUAAGACUAUACAUGGUCAUCGGUUGCAAUGACCGUCAGUUUACUUAGCCUACAUUGUGGUAACAGGAUUAUGAACACUUCUGCUGUACAGAUGUAGUGUAUAAUUGUUUUUCUUCGUAUUUUCUCGGAAACGUUCGUAUAUGUCAUGCUACUUCAAUCAACCUCGCUACUGUUUGUACCGAGACAGACUGCAAUAGCAAGACACGCCCGUUCGUACGUUUCCGUGAAAAUACGGAGGAAAUGAAUUAUGCACUACAUCUGUAUACGUCUACGACAGUUCUUUUAAUGAUACUACAGCAACGCCAUUCCAUAAAUGAAAAUUUCUAUAUACUUUUCGUUUUCUACUUAUUAUUCUAAAUAAAUUUGCCAAUUGCGAGUAGCAUCGUGAGCUAAAAUAAUCGUUAUAUAUAAAAUACUAAUAAUUUGGAGACUUGUUUUGAGAAUGGCGGUGCUAAAAUGUCAUCAAUGGAACGGAUAUUAAACGUAUUGAGUGGCAAGGUGACUAGACAAUUUAGAAUAGUCGUGCGGACCAACCAACCCCUAUGUAGUGAAUGUUAAACUAAUGUACAACGCUACACAAAUAUAAAUUUAUUUUUCAUGUUCUUUAAAAUGACUAUGUUAAGGAUAGUUUUUCCUUGACUACGUCACUUUGACUGAUAUAAAUUUCUUAUUAAAAAUCUUACAUUUGUAUAACGUUGUGGGUUUUAAGGAAGUAGUUUCUUCAAAACUUACACAAUUAAAAUAAGGACUUUUUAUCACCAAUACUUAUAGAAUAAGUAGAUAAUGCUUAAAUGAAUGUAUAACUGUAUUUUAUAUUUUGUGAUUUUACUCGUAGUUUAUACAAGUACUGCCACAAUAAAGGCCUGUGCAGACCGACUGCGUGUGCGUGACGUGCACGUGCGCGUGCAGCGUUGUAGUAUACAGAUCCUUAUGAGACACGACACACCGCUUGCGUGACGUGUGCGGCUCCAACAUUUUUGCGCACGUGCACGUCACGCACACACAAGCCGCUGUGCAUAGGCAUUAAGGUGGGCCACCCUCCCUAAUAUCAGUCACCUGUUUCAUAGUUAUGGUACCUGAUGUUUGAGAGAGGGUGGGCCGACUUUAGGUAAUUACCCAUUUACCCUAGUUACUUUUUGCUGAUCGUAAUUAUUAUUUAGUAAAUGUUUGGCGACACUUGGAGGGACUUGAUGUAUAACCUUUUGAUCACUAAGUCAGAAUAUUCUGACGUAAAAUAGGUGAAAUUUCACCUAUAUAGGUGAAAUUUAUUUAGGACCGUGUAUGAAAAGAAUGCAAAACGGUGGUCAUUGUACUACACUCGUAACGUGCUUUAUCUAACGGUUCAGUUAGUUUUACCCUAGUUACUUUUUGCUGAUGGUAAUUAUUAUUUAGUAAAUGUUUGGCGACACUUGGAGGGACUUGAUGUAUAACCUUUUGAUCACUAAGUCAGAAUAUUCUGACGUAAAAUAGGUGAAAUUUCACCUAUAUAGGUGAAAUUUAUUUAGGACCGUGUAUGAAAAGAAUGCAAAACGGUGGUCAUUGUACUACACUCGUAACGUGCUUUAUCUAACGGUUCAGUUAGUAUAAGUAUAACAUUUUAACAUGUUGUUGUUAAGUAUAACAACUAAAAAAUCUACUGAAACCACUGAGUUGACAGAUAGAGAUACGGUCGCUUAAGAGGGGGUCAACGCAAAAUUGGUAUUUAGAUUGAUUUUUUACGUAAGUAUACCUUUUACCAAAGGCCAAAUGCCGUGAAAAAAAUCACAGUGAAAUCAGACAUUAUUUGCAAGGGCAGAUUCCAACCAAAAUCUGAAAAGAUUGAAGUUAUCAUGAUAGAAAAAAAUCACGAAAACAUGUCUAAUUUUCAUUUAUUUUCAGUUGUUUAUCGUUACCCCAUAGCCGUAAUAGUUAUUUGUUUUACAAGGGGGCAAAGUUGUUGUUUAACCGCUCGUGCUAAUAUUGAUACCCGAGGAAGCGAAAGAUUCCAAAAUUAAAUCGAAAAAUGGAAUCUUGAGCGUUGCGAGGGUUUCAAAGCACGAGGGUUAAACAAAAUUUGCCCCCGAGUGAAACACAAAAUUUUUCACCACACCAACCCGAAGCAAAUAUUAAAUGUAAAAUAUCAAACAAAAUCUAACCAAAUCAAAUCCAAAUGAAUGUUAUUAAAUAUUUAUCAUCCAAAAUCAUCAUUUAAAAGUCAAUUCUACCAGCAAACAUAAGAAAACAACUCAAAAUUUGCGUUUUAUUACUUUGCCUCACAUGUGAAUAAAAUGCAACUUUGCUAUCAGUUUUUGAAGAGCAAAGUAAGCCUUUCCGAGCUGGUGUGGGGAAAAAAUAUUUGCUAUUAUGUUCCAUGACUCCAUGACAGCGAUUUCGAUUUCUACGUGUUUUCAAAUCACACCUUGUCUUAGUGACUCUACCUUUGCCCUUUCAACUCUGUGGUAGAAACCGAUGAUAUAUAGAUUGUAAUGUUAUGUUGUUUUGCAUCUAACAACCGUGCGGUACGUAUUGAGUUGAGUGGUGGAUGUCUCUAAAUGUUAGCAUGCGAGGCCUAAAUUAUAAAAAUAGUUGGAUUCAAUUUUUAAAUACAUUUUUAAUAAGAAUCCUGUCUAGUCCCGAAUUUAUUAUCGUCAUGCCUAUGACGUAUUUUUGUAUAUAUUUGGAAAUCAUCAAAAUAAUUAUUUUGAUUAAUAAGUGAUGAUAAUGUAGUAUUUUAGUUGUUGAACCUCAUAGCAUACUGUAAUGCAUCGCAUUUAUUUUUAGACUACCAAAUUGUGACCUACUUAUAUUCAGCGUGGGUGUAAAAUAAAGGAGAGUAUUGUUUGUACAAAGCUAAAUGAAAUAAUUUUAUUAAAUAAUAUCUGUUUUUACGUGUAAACAACGGUAAUUUAUUAACAAGAUUUUAGCGCACAUCAAAUCCCUGCAUUUCGAUCAUACAAAAAUAUAAUUUUUGGUUGUGAAAAUGUCCGUCACAAACCUGAGGGUUUAGGUACGAAUACCCACUAUUAACUAAUAGAUCUGAUUUGUAACAUCGAAUAUAUUCGUGCCAAAAAAAGAUUAGAUAGAUGGAAUGAUGUAGAAGUAUUUAUGUAUUUGUAGAAUGUCUGUGUCAUGUAAUUUGCAUGAAUGGUUUAUUUAUUUGUUGCAUGUGGUAGAUGAUAUUUUAAAUUAACAGCACUGUGGGCAGCACAGCAUUUCAUGGCUCCUCUACACGAUGGGCCAACGCCGGCCACUCGAGCACUCGGCACAUCGAGGGAGCAAGUGAUAUUGUUAUCUCAUUCUACCACAUGGCUAGGGUAAGGGUAAGGGACGCCUUGGAGUGGUCGGCGUUGGCCCAUCGUCUAGAGGAUCCAUCAAGGAGUACAUAUGGUCUUCUUGUCAUUUUAUUAUAAUAGUUUUAUUGUCAUUUGAAGCAAUUUGUAUUUUGGACCUAAUUUCUGUAUUAAAACAAUAAUAAAAAUAUACAUAUUUAGAGGUUAAAUUUUUACCCUCCUAAUAUUCUAAACAAAAUUAUAUUUGAGAAAUCAUGAAAACUGAUAUCAGCAUAAGGAUCCAUACCUAUAUUAGAGUCACGUGCACAGUAUUAGCAGGGGUGCGAAUCUCCUGAGAUCGGCCAAACUCGGCUCCGCUCGGCUCAGCAUUGCUCCGAGCAAUUAUUAGGGUUGGCACCACUUGACUUCCUUUGGCGUGCACGACCACAGAUAAGAUAAUCACUUGAAUUUUGACAACCCUAAAUAGCCGAAGGGGAUAGUGCCAUAUAUUAGGAAGGGAUAGCAUGAUUCGACCCUGAACCGCUGUCAAACUUCGGUUUUGUAGGAAGUUUCCUUUCUGUACGGUAGUACUAUUAUUUAUUCUGUGGUAUUAGUAAAUUAUUCGUUCGUUGGGUUUAACCCUUGGGACGCCUAGUGCCAUAUCCGUACCAGUCCUGUCAACUGCCGGAGGGUCUUCAAUUUUUGUACCCGUCAACUGCCUAGUCCCAGAUCUGUACAAAGUGUCUCAACUGCCUUGUGCCUUAUCAGUCACCAAAUUUAUUGUAUUAUAUUUUUACAAUUUUGAGAUCUAAACACUUACAAAUAGAGUUUUAUAUCAUUUGCACAAUAUCACUUUUUUUUGAUCGCGGCAGUUGACGGGUACAAAAAUUGAUGACCCUCCGGCAGUUGAGGGGGAUGGGACGGAUCCGGCACUAGGCAUCUGACGGGUACAAGUACGUUUUCUCAAAAAUGGACGGCAUAGUCGACUUUGCCGUCUAAAAAAUAGGUCGCGAAGCGCGUAGUUUAUGGUCAGUCAAAAAUUAAAAAGUUAAAAACAUUGCAGUCUCGAUUUUGGGACUGCAAUGUUGCAUACAAAUUCCAUUAUUUGUCGAGUUCCAAACUUAUUAAAAGUUGAAAUGACCAUAUCAAAUGAAGGCACAGGCCCAUUAAACAGCCAAACCGAUGAUUAGUACUGUGACUAUUUAGCUGUCUCAGAUAGGUUGGCGUAUUUUCGGCAGAAAAAUACACUUCUAUUUUUUUUAUUAAAAAAAUAAAAAGGCGGCAAGGGCUUUUUUCUGUGAAAAUAUAUACGUAAGAACGUUGGUUUUGUAAAAUAUUUCUAUGAUAUUUAUAUUUCUUGCACCAUUUUUGAGAAAAGCACUAUAUAUGACUCGGCUGGAAGGCUACUUGCUGGCUUCGGAUUCAAUUAAACGGACUCCCAAGGUCGGCCGUUUAAAACGAAUCCUCAGCCUGCAAGUAGCUACUUCCGAGCCUCGACAAUAAUGUACUAUUGUCGGUUCGGCGUUCCAGGGGUUAAAACUCAAAGAGCUACAAGCGUUCAGGCAUAGUAAUAAACUUCUCAAUUAAGUAUCUACUUUGCGAUAAUUGUUAAUUAAUCGGGAUGUAUAUGGUAAAGUUAGUUAUUUUCCACAAGUUUUACGUUACGACUUUUACUGUCAUCGCCGGGAUAGGUCGAUCACUAAAUAUAUGAAAUUAGUGUAAGUUAAUGUAUUAUUAUUAUUUAAGUUAAUUUAUUUAAUCUAGUGUACUUACUUUGUUAAUCUCAACUUUAUUUUUUGUUUUAUUUGCCUACAUACCACUUGCUGUAUCGCGAUUUAUAUUUAACUUGUAUAAAAUUGGUAUUAAUUAAUAGGUAGGUAUGUACAUUUAACUUGAUCGACCGAUAACAAAUUAUCUAUCAAAGAAUAUGAGCAGAUUGUUACAAAACAACGAGUACCUAACACAAAUGUUCUAAUUUUAUGUAAACAUUAUCAUUAUUUAAUAAUAUUUUGAUUCCUUCAUUUGUAUUUAUCUUUUCGAUGUUAUGUAAUAAAUUUGUUUUCAGUUGUA